rnacentral:lncRNA from 1 species
ACCGCCAUGGUGACUUGCAAGCAACUCACUGCACUUAGGCACUGGACUACCUGAAUUUCUAAUUCAGUGACGGAAGGCUGUUGGGUGUAGUCAAGUACUUGACUUGUCGGUGUGUGUGUCAAGAUGGGAUUGACCACUCCAGUUUAGGAGUUGUGUACAGUCAUGUUUCAAUUUAGCAAAAUCUUGGCUAGGGUAGUCCU